CGUCUCUACUAAAAAAUACAAAUAAUAAUAAUAAUAAUAAUAAUUAGCCCUGCGUAGUGGCGCAGGCCUGUAGUCCAGCUACUAGGGAGGCUGAAGCAGGAGAAUUGCUUGAGCCCAGGAGGCGGAGGUUGCAAUGAGCUGAGAUCGCGCCACUGCACUCCAGCCUGGCGACAGAGCGAGCUUCCGUCUUAAAAUAAAAAAUAUAUAUAUAAAAGAAAAAGAAAUUCACAUGCCACACGUUUCCAGGGAUCCUGAGACCACCGAAGACCACACUGAAGUCUAGGCCCAGUUAAAACUUGUUUUACAUGGGAAUUAAUAACUAAAGGAUCAGAAUACAAAUUCAAAGACAGGUUUAACUUGACAGUGGUGUUGGCCACAGACAUGGGAAAGUGGAGGUGCUUUUCGCACCUUGCCAGCAGGGGACGCCCCGGGACCGGAAGAACCGGCGCCAGGAGCCGGGGGAACGGGGGCCUGGACGUCUGCUGACUGCGGGUACCCGCACGCGCCGGCUCCGCCGGGGCCCGCUCCAGCCGAAGAGGCUGUUUUUGCGUUCCGCCAAGCCCCGUCACUUUCCCGCGUCGUCUGGAAGAUGAAACUCCUCAGCCGGGAAAACAAAACCGCUGUGGCUGUGGAAGGACACCAUGCUUCUCAUAAAAAAGACCUCAGCAGGACACACACAGAAAUCCAGGCGACUGGGACAGAAACCAUGUCCUCCAGGAAGGGAGCGGCCCAUCAGCCCAGGGAUCGCCAGUACAGGAGCCCCUUUUUUGGAAGGAAGGCCAUGGGAACACACAGAGACCCACGGGGAAGACGGCCAGGAGACAAGGGAGGCAGAGUCUGGAGUUAUGCUGCCUACAGUCAUCUGCCAAGGACAGCCAGAAACCACAAGAGGCUAAGAGGGAGAUUUUACCUGAAAGCCUCCUGAAGAAAUCAAUCAUACUCAUACUUCCCUUUUGAAUUUUUGGCCUCAUGAACUGUGAAAAAAUAAAUUUCUAUUGUCUUAAGUGGUUUGUGGUCA
rnacentral:lncRNA from 13 species